rnacentral:rRNA from 1 species
CCUACGGGAGGCAGCAGUGGGGAAUAUUGGACAAUGGGCGAAAGCCUGAUCCAGCAAUGCCGCGUGAGUGAUGAAGGCCUUCGGGUCGUAAAGCUCUUUUACCAGGGAUGAUAAUGACAGUACCUGGAGAAUAAGCUCCGGCUAACUCCGUGCCAGCAGCCGCGGUAAUACGGAGGGAGCUAGCGUUGUUCGGAAUUACUGGGCGUAAAGAGUACGUAGGCGGUUAUUCAAGUCAGAGGUGAAAGCCCGGGGCUCAACCCCGGAACUGCCUUUGAAACUAGAUAACUAGAGUCUUGGAGAGGUUAGUGGAAUUCCGAGUGUAGAGGUGAAAUUCGUAGAUAUUCGGAAGAACACCAGUGGCGAAGGCGACUAACUGGACAAGUACCGACGCUGAGGUACGAAAGCGUGGGGAGCAAACAGGAUUAGAUACCCUGGUAGUCCACGCCGUAAACGAUGAUAACUAGUUGUUCGGUCACUUGGUGACUGAGUGACGCAGCUAACGCAUUAAGUUAUCCGCCUGGGGAGGUACGGUCGCAGAUAAACUACAANAGAAUAGACGCGNGAGACGNGCCGAACGACGACACGAGGGAGUAGG